rnacentral:rRNA from 1 species
AGCAGCCGCGGUAAUUCCAGCUCCAAUAGCGUAUAUUAAAGUUGUUGCAGUUAAAAAGCUCGUAGUUGAAUUUCGGGGUCAGUAAGUUGGUCGUGCCACUGGUAUGUACUGGCUUUACUGAUUCCUCCUUCUUGUAGAACCGUAAUGCCAUUAAGUUGGUGUUGCGGGAAAACAGGACUGUUACUUUGAAAAAAUUAGAGUGUUUAAAGCAAGCUAACGCUUGAAUACAUUAGCAUGGAAUAAUGAAAUAGGACGAACGAUCCUAUUUUGUUGGUUUCUAGGAUUGACGUAAUGAUUAAUAGGGAUAGUUGGGGGCAUUAGUAUUCAAUUGUCAGAGGUGAAAUUCUUGGAUUUAUUGAAGACUAACUACUGCGAAAGCAUUUGCCAAGGAUGUUUUCAUUAAUCAAGAACGAAAGUUAGGGGAUCGAAGACGAUCAGAUACCGUCGUAGUCUUAACCAUAAACUAUGCCGACUAGGGGUCGGAUGAUGUUAAUUUUUUAAUGACUCAUUCGGCGCCUUA